rnacentral:rRNA from 1 species
UUUAAAAGAAGUAGAAAAAUUAGGGUAGUAUUAGUUAUUUUCUUAAAACUUAAAAAAUUUGGCGGUAUUUUAUUCUUUUCAGAGGAACUUGUUUUAUAAUUGAUAAUCCUCAUUGAAUCUUACUUAAUUUUGAAUAAUUUGUAUACCGUUGUCAUAAGAAAAUUUUUAAAAAAAAAUAAUUUUCUAAUUUAAAUAAUACUUUAUAUGUCAGAUCAAGGUGCAGUUUAUAAUUAAGAAAAAAUGAGUUACAAUUAAAUUAUUAAUAACGAAAUAAUAAAUGAAAUAUUAUUAUGAAGGUGGAUUUGGAUGUAAAUUUAUAGAGAUUAUUAAAUUGAUAUUAGUUUUAAAAUGUGC